AUGAGGCCGCCACAACUACCUGCCACAUAUCCAUCUUCAGAGCUGUACUGUUGCAUCGGCCUUGCCCGGUCUCGCUGCCACCGACGCCACCACGACGCCAGACAGCGUAGACCUCCUGCGCGUGUCCGUCACCACACAUCUGAUGCCAAGCCUCCGCUGCUCCAUGCCGCCAAGAGCCGCCGCCAAGAAUAUGUAGAAAGAAACACCGCUCCACCGAAAGGGAGGCAGCACACCCCCACCCCUCACCUGCAUACCCUUUCAUCCGAUCCCAAUGUCCUUGGCUUCGCCUCCAGGAAGGUUACGGUGCACGGGGCGCCGCCGACGCCCGAUCCACAUCGGAUCUUGGGCUUUCACCCGGACAUGGGUAGGAGUGGAGAGAUGGUGCCCUCAGCAGCGCCCCCAAGGAGGAAAGCGGCGCCAAAAGGCGGCGUCGCCGCCGCUGGCCAGCCAAGGCGGCCAAGGUUUCCCUCGGACACCGAUCUGCUCCACCAGAACACACCGGAGGUGGAUCCGGCAAGAUCCAAACCGAAUCGGGGACUGGGAAGGGAUGCAUGGAAGAGAGGGGGGCAAUACCUCCAGAUCUGGCACGCCUGCGGCUCGCCGUCCUCACGGCCGAACCCUCAGGCAUGCCGCACGCCACGCCAGCAGGGGCCACCGCCCUUGGAUCCGAUGGCCUCCGCAAAGAAAGGAGCGCCGAAGACCCCACCGCCACCUUCCCCGGUGCCCGCGUGGGCUUUCCCGGCUGUCGUCUCCAGUGGCGGCGAGGGGGGUGGGGGAGGUGGGGGGAGGCGGCGGGGGAAAACCCUAGACUCCCCCGAGACGCCCUAG
rnacentral:rRNA from 1 species